rnacentral:rRNA from 1 species
CCAUUUUCUGCCACCGAAUACAUUAGCAUGGGAUAAUGGAAUAGGACCCUGUCCUCCUAUUUUCAGUUGGUUUUGGCAGCGCGAGGACUAGGGUAAUGAUUAAUAGGGAUAGUUGGGGGCAUUAAUAUUUAAUUGUCAGAGGUGAAAUUCUUGGAUUUAUGAAAGAUUAACUUCUGCGAAAGCAUCUGCCAAGGAUGUUUUCAUUAAUCAAGAACGAAAGUUAGGGGAUCGAAGACGAUCAGAUACCGUCGUAGUCUUAACCAUAAACGAUGCCGACCAGCGAUUAGGAGACGUUGAAUACAAAACACCACCAUCGGCGCGGUCGUCCUUGGCGUCUCGGUUUCGGCCGGGGCGCGGGGAUGGCUUAGCCCGGUGGCACCGGUGAAUGACUCCCUAGCAGCUUGUGAGAA